rnacentral:lncRNA from 1 species
GAGAACUCACUGGGGAGUGAAGGACUCAUACUGGGGAAAAGAAUUCCAAAUGGAAAAUAAAUCCAUUGGAGAGACACAAGCUGACUCCUGAGGAGAAGCAACAAAAAGUUCCACUGAGGGAAAGCAACAAAGAAAUGAGAUAUUACCAGGCAUAAGGGUAACAAACUCAGGAAGGAACACCAAGGAUACCGGGUUGUAGGUAUGUAACAGGUGACCGACCAAAGACGUGAAUUGGUG